GCCCUAUGAAGUUAUUUUAUUACCUUUUAUUCGUUAUCGUGGCAUGCAUUUGGUCAGCAUCUGCUGAAUGUAGCAUGCCUGGUGUUGAUGUGGUUCCGCAAUGUCGAGGCAUUGAGGAUUGCAAAAAAUUUAAGAAGUGCAUUAAUUUGCAAGCAAAAGUGAUUCUCACAUCCACUAGAAAGAACAUCCGUCAAAGAAACCUAUAAAGAAAAUAGUGAUUGACAAAAAUACCCCGCUGAUAUGGUACCUUACUGAAGGAAAACAACCUAAAUAAUGGCAAACAGGUCUUCCAUUUGUUUUAGUGCGCUUUCUGUUCUAGAGGUAUAUCGAAAUUAAAUAUCUUACCUUAUACAAGUAUAUAAUGAGGUGAAAUAAUCAUGGAAAUGUAUUU